GGUGCGAGCGUUAAUCGGAAUUACUGGGCGUAAAGCGCAUGCAGGCGGCCUGUUAAGUCAGAUGUGAAAGACCCGGGGCGUUAACCUCGGAAUUGCAUUUGAAACUAGGCAGGCUAGAGUCUUGUAGAGGGGGGUAGGAAUUUCAGGUGUAGCGGUGAAAUAGCGUAGAGAUCUGAAGGAAUACCAGUGGCGAAGGCGGCCCCCUCGGACAAAGACUGACGCUCAGAUGCGAAAGCGUGGGGAGCAAACAGGAUUAGAUACCCUGGUAG
rnacentral:rRNA from 1 species